GAAAUAAGAAAUUCAAUGCUAUACUAAUCAAUAUAUAUGUAUAUAUAUAUAUGAUAAAAUAUAGUAUGCACUUUUCUUAUAGUAAGACAUUGCAAUCCAUUUGCUUUUUUUUUUUAUUCUAUGAUAAGACUCGCUCAAUUACUGUUUCAUUACCAUCUUUUGCUUGCAUUUGAUGUGUUUCGAAGUAGAGUGAUGUUCGCAUAGAAGGUAGAUGGAUUUAAUUAAUAACUAUAUUAUAUGCACUUUAUUGUUGUAUAUCACAAUUGUUUACUUGAAUAAAGUUUGCUCUAAUGUGACCAAUAUAGUUUGAUUGGCAAUGCGUAUGAUUUAGGAUACCUUCGGGACCCGUCUUGAAACACGGACCAAGAAGUCUAACAUGUGUGCAAGUCAUUAGGUUUUAUACAUGUUGUUAUGAUGUGUGUAAGCAAUGUAAACCUAAAGGCAUAAUUAAAGUAACUAAUUAUAUAUGGGAUUACAAGUAUAUUAUAUUAUACUUUUCCAUCUCAGGGCGUUUUAUAUUGAACAUGUUUGACCUCGUGUUGAUCCUCUGUUCAAAAGCGUACCUUAAGCAUACAUGCUGU
rnacentral:rRNA from 1 species